UUUUUCAUCAGCAUCAGUGACCGUUCAUGGUUUCUGAGAACAAAUUGAAGUAGGUAGGCUACACCCCUGCAUGAACACAAGGGGUAGGUGAAAUCAGCAGUAAACAUAGGUAAGCAUCUGAAUCAGAUUUUUUCGUUGGAUCUGCCUACUCUCUUCCUUUUAUAUAGGGGUAGUAGAUGAUGUGUAUAUGCUUCCUUGUCUAAUACAGGAUGGGUGGUCAAUACAUUGUUCAGUUUUGACAUGUUUAAUGAUCAUUUAGUUGACUCCAGUAAGGAACAUGCUUGAGUUCUGAUUUUAACUUCUAAUAGAAAUGAAUAUUGAAAAUAAAAUCGUAAAGCUAACUGAAUUUUUCAUGGCACAAAUGAAAUUUUCAUGUAGGAUUGAGAUUCAAGUUGUAAACUUGAGCAAAAUCGUUGAUGGGCUCACAGCUCCUUACCAUCCACAUCUUCAUAAACUGAUUCAUAAGGUGGAAAUCCGGAAUUGAGUACUGAAAACCAAAUAGUUUGUGCAUUCCAGGUAUUUUGUUGCUUUGCUAGAAUACAACUUGUGGAAUUACUAAGCUGAACGGCUCGCAACAUACCUUUAUUUUCAUUUUGAAAUUCUUGUGAUCUUUUGGAUCCUAAAAAGGAUAGGUACCAUCCAACAUCACGUAAAGGAAGACCCUACAUCCACACAUCAUCUAUCUCCACCAAAUGAAAAAUUAGUAGUUCUUCGGCAAAUAAUAGAACAUAAAAUAUUAAUAUGUUUGUGUCGGCUGAAGACUAUGCACUACUCAUGCCAAGAAAAAGUGUAUGCAAGAUUCAGAAUUAGUAAAGCUUUUAUGCUCGAGCAAAAUGAAUUAAGUUAGGAGGCGGAUGGCAGAGUAUGCACGGGGCCGUCUAAAGCACAUAGUGAUGGACUAUACCUUCCGACCAUAUUAAUUACUGAGCGAAACUUAAGGAGCAAUAUAUGCCAGAGUUCCAACAGUUGUUGUUGCUUCAAAAUGAUGAACCGAUGUGGAAGCCCAUUGACCUACAUCUGCAACAUAUACACUUUUCAUUUAGCCUUGAGUGUUAAUUUUGCUCGGCUCAUUCUUUCUCACUUAGUCACGAUUCUUCAAAAGAAAUGUCGUGCAUCCAUAUGCGAGGUGUACACUACAACCCUGCAUGUACACAAAUAUUUAUUUCCUUCUCACAUUACACCCAGCUAACCAUGUCAUAAUAAUGCAUACCCAUGGUGGCAAGAAGAAAGGACAUUCAUUAUACGAAGGUCAGAAAUAGACACAUGUGCCGUUUUUCCACCAUAACAUGGAACAAAAUCAUCACCUAUGACAGAAACAAGAUAGUCGAGGGCUGCAAUUUGGGUUGAUUGUGUUUCUAAGAGGAGUUGUUCACCAUCUAAUAAAAUUAAACAUUGUAUUCGAUGCGGUUAAUCUUUUUUCACCAUCACAGGUUUCACUUGUAGCAAUAUAUAUCUGAGUGUACCUGGGAAAACCAACAGGCCUGAACACUAAUGUUGUUCUUAUACAGGUGUGAGUGUAGUGUGUUGCUAAGGAAGAAAAGAAUCAAAUCACAGUGACAAACAACAUGACAGAGGUUGCUGGAUUCGCUUGGUACCUCAGCUCUGUCAUGCAAAAGGUUUUGAAUGGUUUAACAAAGCAGACUCCUCACAGGAUACAAUUAGCCGAAAGUAAAAAUUGUUUCAAGAUCUUGGAAAAUGUCCAAUUUGGAGAUGUCAAGUGCACCUCAUAUGUGAAAUCCUUGUUUUUUCUCACGGGGCCAGAAAAUAUUACUGCAUGCAACCCAAGUUCUUAUGGGGACUAUGCUAGCCUUGGUUUCCUCUGAUUCGAAGAGUCAAACUCUUCAGUCCCAUCAUGCACUUUGGAUUCGGAAGCAACAAGUCUACCUGAAGAAUCGCCGACAAAAUUCAAACUGAAAGCUUCUAGGUAUACCACUGAGCACCGCCAAAAUUUCUUAUAAAGUGGAGAGCGCAAGUAGUUAGUGAAUUGGAUUUGGAUGGAACACUGAUGCGUGCACCGCAUAUCACUACCAUUAUACAGGAAACAAGCAGGGGAGCAAUCAUGUGAACAAGCAGAGAGCAAUCUCAUAAGUUAUGAGCCUAUGAUGGAUACUUACGCUUGAUGCCAUCAGCUUGCCCCGUGAGAUGAUUGGAGUGAGGUUAGUCAUGGUGGCCCUCGCUCCAGCGCCGUGCAUCGUCUUCGACACGCCACCGCUUCAGGACUUCUCCGUGGACGAUCUGAAGGCCACCACACAACAGUCGAUGGUUCGCCUGCAAGACGGCGACUGGGUCGCCGCAUCCAGUAGCAGAAGAUGGGUGGGUCGACGCCGCCAUCGGAUGGGCUCAUCGGCGGCAGCGGGCGACGGGGCAUCGGCGGGCGACACGGGAGGCGGCGGAGCGGCGGACGGCGCAGGAGGCGGCGGAACAGCGGCGGGAGCGGAGGAUGGGCGUCAGUUAGGAUAGGAGGAGUGGGCGUCCGAUCAUGCAGGCGUGCGG
rnacentral:lncRNA from 1 species